AUGAACGCCGCCCUAGAUGCCGCCGGAGCGGCCCGCCGCCGCAGCCCACGCCUCCAUCCCCAGGUUCAGGCGAAUGAGGAGGGAGCCGGACUGCAUCUGAGGCGCAGUGCGCGUCUCCAUCCCCCAGUCCACGCAAGUGACGAGGGCGACGGAGUCACCCGCCGCCGCAGCCCUCGCCUCCAUCCCCUGGUUCAAGGAGUGGCUCGCCGGUGCAGCACGCGCCUCCGUCCCAAGGUCCACACGAACACGAGUGAGGAGGCAUCCGGAGUGAUCCGCGGCAGUUGUCGCCGCCGCCACAGCUCGCGGGCUGCGCUAUCCUCACCGCUUGAAGACGACGAUCUCCUGAGGGAGAUCCUGCUCCGUCUCCCACCGCAGACCUCCUCCCUGCCCCGCGCCUCCGCCGUCUGCAAGCGGUGGCGACACGCCUCCACCGACCCAAGGUUCCACCGCCAGUUCCGUGCAUAUCACCAAAAGCCGCCCCUCCUUGGUUUCUUCGAGGAUAGCGUGGAUGGUAUCGUGUUCACACCAAUCCUGGACCAUCCUGAUCGUAUCCCUCCACAGCGCUUCGACCUCAUUGACAGCGGCGACCUCUCAAGGUUCCAACUGCUUGGAUGCCGUCACGGCCGCCUUCUCAUCAUGCGCCCAAUACAGCAGGAUCUUAUUGUCAUUGCCCCCAUCACCGGGGAGGAGUGCCGUGUGCCCAUUCCGUCGGAGUUCAAUAAACGCUAUGUUAACGGGGCGGUGCUCUGUGCUGCUACUGAUCACGACCAUGUGCACGGAAACUGCCACUUGAGCCCAUUCAAGGUGAUCUUGCUAUCCACGAGCACCUACUAUAGUGGUCCACAGCUCAUCUUAGCAUCUGUUUACUCUUCGAAGGCUGGCGUAUGGGGCGACGUCAUCUCAACUCUGACUCCAUGUGAGCUUCCUGGUGGCGGUACUCAUGGGUCACUAGUUGGUAAUGCACUUUACUGGUUGUGUAGAGAUUACAUGAUUGAGUUUGAUUUGGAUGGGCACAUCUUAGCUUUGAUCAGUGCGCCCCCCACUAUAAAUGAGUCACGUCACUUUUUUGACAUGCGUGAGGUCAUCCAGAUCAUGGAUGGCGCUGUUGGUAUCGCCAUAUUGUCUCACUAUUACCAUAACAUUCAAAUGUGGCAAAGGAAGGUUAAUUGUCAGGGUGCUACCAAAUGGGAGUUGUGGAAGACCAUCGACAUGCAUAACAUUGAUGGGAUCCCCCCUGGGGUUGAAGGAGUGAGGACAGGGUUGUUAUUUAGACUGAGAUAUGUUGAGGAUACUGAUGAAAUAUUUCUAUAUGUGGGCCAUAAUGUCUAUAUGGUUCAACUUAAGUCGAUGCAAUCGAAGAAACUUUGUGAAAGCGGUUGUGUUAGUGCUCAUCAUUCUUUCAAGAGUUUCUGUAUGCCAGGCACAACCAUUGUUGGUGGAUGUGAUGGAUCCCAUACAUAG
rnacentral:rRNA from 1 species